CCCUACGGGAGGCAGCAGUGGGGAAUAUUGCACAAUGGGGGAAACCCUGAUGCAGCGACGCCGCGUGAAGGAUGAAGUAUUUCGGUAUGUAAACUUCUAUCAGCAGGGAAGGAAAUGACGGUACCUGACUAAGAAGCCCCGGCUAACUACGUGCCAGCAGCCGCGGUAAUACGUAGGGGGCAAGCGUUAUCCGGAUUUACUGGGUGUAAAGGGCGUGUAGGCGGGGACGCAAGUCAGAUGUGAAAACCACGGGCUCAACCUGUGGCCUGCCUUUGAAACUGUGUUUCUUGAGUACU
rnacentral:rRNA from 1 species